rnacentral:rRNA from 1 species
CCUACGGGAGGCAGCAGUGAGGAAUAUUGGUCAAUGGACGAGAGUCUGAACCAGCCAAGUAGCGUGAAGGAUGACUGCCCUAUGGGUUGUAAACUUCUUUUAUAUGGGAAUAAAAUGUUCCACGUGUGGGAUUUUGUAUGUACCAUAUGAAUAAGGAUCGGCUAACUCCGUGCCAGCAGCCGCGGUAAUACGGAGGAUGCGAGCGUUAUCCGGAUUUAUUGGGUUUAAAGGGUGCGUAGGUGGAUUGUUAAGUCAGUUGUGAAAGUUUGCGGCUCAACCGUAAAAGUGCAGUUGAAACUGGCAGUCUUGAGUACAGUAGAGGUGGGCGGAAUGCGUGGUGUAGCGGUGAAAUGCUUAGAUAUCACGAAGAACUCCGAUUGCGAAGGCAGUUCACUGGACUGCAACUGACACUGAUGCUCGAAAGUGUGGGUAUCAAACAGGAUUAGAUACCCUGGUAGUC